ACAAUAUUAGAUUUUUUACAACGUUGUAUUAUACAGGUUGUCCGAAAAAUCAACGGCACGCUAAAAACUGAUGCAAGGUGGAAUCGAAUUUUCGAUUUUUUACUAAGGUCAUUAUUACGAUAUUCUGGCCACUCCUGAGCUAGCCUCUAGCUCCUAUAGGCCCUUUGAGGGACAACGUUGACUUUUG